rnacentral:rRNA from 1 species
AGAACGAACGCUGGCGGCAGGCUUAACACAUGCAAGUCGAGCGCCCCGCAAGGGGAGCGGCAGACGGGUGAGUAACGCGUGGGAAUCUACCCAUCUCUACGGAACAACUCCGGGAAACUGGAGCUAAUACCGUAUACGCCCUUCGGGGAAAGAUUUAUCGGAGAUGGAUGAGCCCGCGUUGGAUUAGCUAGUUGGUGGGGUAAAGGCCUACCAAGGCGACGAUCCAUAGCUGGUCUGAGAGGAUGAUCAGCCACACUGGGACUGAGACACGGCCCAGACUCCUACGGGAGGCAGCAGUGGGGAAUAUUGGACAAUGGGCGCAAGCCUGAUCCAGCCAUGCCGCGUGAGUGAUGAAGGCCCUAGGGUUGUAAAGCUCUUUCAACGGUGAAGAUAAUGACGGUAACCGUAGAAGAAGCCCCGGCUAACUUCGUGCCAGCAGCCGC